rnacentral:rRNA from 1 species
GCUUAUACUCGACCGUCAGCGGCAAGAGCGAUCGCGCCCGCAAGGGGGCGGUCACCAAGCCCUGACGAGUAGGAGGGUCGCGGCGGUGAGCGCAGAAGGGCUGGCCGCGAGGCCGUCUGGAGCCGCCGUCGGUGCAGAUCUUGGUGGUAGUAGCAAAUACUCCAGCGAGGCCCUGGAGGACUGACGUGGAGAAGGGUUUCGUGUGAACAGCCGUUGCACACGAGUCAGUCGAUCCUAAGCCCUAGGCGAAAGCCGAUGUCGAUGCGGUGUAGCUUUAUGUAUAUAAGAUUAAUAUUAAUAAUAAUUUUGUUAAUCAUUAUUUAUCGCACACACCCGUCGGGCGAAAGGGAAUCCGGUUCCUAUUCCGGAACCUGGCAGCGGAACCGUCAAUAAGUCGGGC